AGAAUGAACGUUGGCGGCGUGGAUUAGGCAUGCAAGUCGAACGGGCCUGGUAGCAAUAUCAGGUCAGUGGCGUAAGGGUGAGUAAGGCGACGGCAACCAACCCCAUGGUUGGGCAUAGCCGCGGGAAACUGCGGGUAAUUCCCAGCGAUGUUCGUACCGGGCAUCCGGUGUGAACCAAAGUUCUGGCGCCGUGGGACGGGCCGUCGUGGUAUUAGGUUGUUGGCGGGGUAAUGGCCCACCAAGCCUCUGAUGCCUACCGGGCGUGCGAGCGUGGCCCGGCACACUGGGACUGAGACACUGCCCAGACUCCUACGGGAGGCUGCAGUCGAGAAUCUUCGGCAAUGGGCGCAAGCCUGACCGAGCGACGCCGCGUGGAGGAUGGAAGGCCUUCGGGUUGUAAACUCCUGGUCGGAGGGGGAGGAAGGCGCAAGCUUGACCUAUCCCGUGGAGGAAGCGACGGGCUAAGUUCGUGCCAGCAGCCGC
rnacentral:rRNA from 1 species